rnacentral:lncRNA from 1 species
CCGAUUGCGGGAACAGGGGAAAAGAUUCCAAGCAAAGGGAAGAUCUGAGCAAAGAUCAGGAGGCAAGAGGGAAGAUUUGUGUUUUAGAGAAUUACAACCAGGAGUUUGGACUUGAACUUGGGGAAAUCAGAGGUCACAGAAGGCCUUAAACAACAGAAGAAUGCUGAAGUUGGAAGUGAGUUUUACAGUACAACACGUGGAACACCUAUUGCAGAGGAAUCAGGAAGAGCAGGCCAGAGUUCUGCAAUGAGGAUUUCAUUCUGCCUGGAAGUUGAGGGAUGGAUGAUGUCAACUUUCAAGGAGAACAGCAAGGGGGAAAUCUGCCUCCUUGAUUCAAUUACCUCGCACCAGGUGCUUUCCCCAACACUGGGGAUUACAAUUCAACAGGAGAUUUCGAUGAGGACACGGAGCCAAACCAUAUCAACCUAACUUGAAAUUUUCAUCUGCUAAGACAUAAAAAACCAAGUUAUAAUUGUUCUUAAAAAUCAGGGUGGCUGACUGGCAUGUGUAGAGAGAUGUAAGAAAAGAGACUGGGUGCAGUGGCUCAAGCCUGUAAUCCCAGCACUUUGGAAAGCCGAGGCAGGCAGAUCACCUGAGGUCGGGAGUUUGAGACCAGCCUGACCAACAUGGAGAAACCCCGUCACUACUGAAAAUUCAAAAAUCAGCUAGGCGUGGUGGUGCAUGCCUGUAAUCUCAACUACUCAGGAGGCUGAGGCAGGAGAAUCGCUUGAACCCGGGAGGCGGAGGUUGCAGUGAGCUGAGAUGGCAUCAUUGCACUCUGGCCUGGGCAAGAAGAGCGAAACUCCAUCUGAAAAAAAAAAAAAAAAAAAAAAGAAAGAAAGCAGCUGAAGCUUGAGAUGCAAAAACUACUUGUAAAAGGGAUUAGGUUUGGAGACACUGGAAAAAACCUACUGGUCCAGGGCUUGCUAACGGAUAGGUUGGAAGGACAUGGGGUUAUAAUGGAGACGGCAAACUGGUGGCUCAUAGACUGAGCUGAAUCUGCUGCUAUGGUUAACCCCUCUUUUGUAAAACAAACAAAAACAACUAUAGUUUGUUUUUAACAAUUAAUAAUAGGAAGAAUUCACAGCACAGCAAACUGUGGAGUUCUGGCUUCUUUUUGAAAAAUCAGAAGAUAAGGCAGAGCAGAAUCUUCCCUCUCCCAGAGCAAACACCACUGUGGUCUCUCUCUCCAUGGGUGCUCCCAGCUCACCACGGUCCCUGUUCUACUCCUUUCUGAAUUAACGCAGGUGGCUCCGUUACUUUACGUGGUUUACCUGUUCCCUGUAGCCACUGGAGUUUGCAGCUCUCACUUAAAAGGCACUGAGAGCCUAAGGACAAGGCAGCAAGGGCUGUCUGUUGGGACAUGGUAAAGAAAGGUGACUUCCAAGUAAUGAGUUAGUCAACAGUGCUUCAAAACACCUAGUACCAAACACAAAUUACAAAUUGUACCCCAUAAAAAUGCAUGAUUACAGUGUGUCAAUUAAAAAAAAAAUAUAUAUAUAUAUAUAUAUAUUUAUUUAUUUAAAUAGUACCUAGACUUAGGGGCUUGGAAGGCAGGCAACACACAUUUUUAUCUUUGUAUUCCAGUCCCAUUAGGUCUUGUGGACAUUUGUUAAAAAAAAUAAAUAAAUGUUGUGAAUAUUUAAAAAUUAGAUCAGGCAGUUUCUUCUCCAUCAGUAAUUAUAAAUUAAGUGUAAAUAUGGCAUAUAGGUGCGACUAAGACCUUCAACUUCAAGAUAGUUCUUAUAAAAAUGUAUCUUCCUAGAACAGAACUGUCCAAUAGUACUUUCUGUGAUGCUGAAAAUAUUCUUUAUCUGUACUGUAGACACUAGCCACAUGUCUAGUGUCUAGUUUUAAGUCUAAAAUUUAGUCUGAAGAGUUAAAUUUUAAAAUUUUAUUUAAAUUGUCAUUAAUUUAAAUUUAGAUAGCCACAUAUGGCUAUUGGCUACUACCUUGAACAGUGCAGAAUACAGGGCAAGCAUGUCUAAGUUUAGAACUAUGGAAGUUUAAUAUUUACUCAUUCUAUAUUGUUAAGGGCAGAAAUAAUUAAGAACAGAUUAUCAAAAAAGUCAGAUUCUAUUGUUAUAUACCUUUAAAAUGUGCACAUGAGUAGAAUACAUCUGAAAAGAUAGGUUCAAAAUAUUAGUAAUAUGUAUUUCUGGAAUGGAAUUAUAGUCUUGUUUUGUUUUUGCUAGGAUUUUUAUGGCUUUUUAUUCUUCUGUAUUUUCAAUUAUCUCUAAAAUAAAAU